GGGGAAAAAUCAUUCCUAUUCUGGGCAAGGAGCUGAAGAGAUAAUUUGGCAAAAUAAAAUUGACUGUAAUAAGAAAAUCUCAAAAUUAAUUUGCUUUCAUGAUGAUUUUUUUUGAAGUAUAAGUGCAAUUGAUUCAACCUUUCUUGUGUAUGUAUUUGUAAUUCAUUAAAAAGGUAUCUAAAAAAUGAUUCAAGUUUGAUCCACAAAAUACCACUCAAUAGUCUUCUCUAUAAGUGUCAGGGUUAGUGCCAUUAAAUUAAAUUUUACAUACUCAUACAAAAUAUACUUAAAUGUUGUAUCUAAUAUAUAUGGAAUAGCUUUAGAUGUCUUUUUUUUUUUUUUUUGA
rnacentral:lncRNA from 1 species